UACGUAGGGGGCGAGCGUUGUCCGGAAUCAUUGGGCGUAAAGCGCGUGUAGGCGGCUCGAUAAGUCUGGUGUGAAAACUGGAGGCUCAACCUCCAGCUGUCAUUGGAUACUGUCGGGCUAGAGUCCGGAAGAGGAGAGUGGAAUUCCUGGUGUAGCGGUGGAAUGCGCAGAUAUCAGGAGGAACACCAAUGGCGAAGGCAGCUCUCUGGUACGUGACUGACGCUGAGACGCGAAAGCGUGGGGAGCGAACAGG
rnacentral:rRNA from 1 species